AGCCACACAGUUGCUACUGGCAUGUUUGCAAAAUAGCACAAGGUGCUGUAAAAUGAAGAUAUAUUGUUAAAUAUCAUGAGAUAAAAGAUGAAGAUCUAGCUGUACCCGUCCCGAGCCACACUACUGCAGCCACGUUGCUGCUGGCAUUUUUGCAAAAUAGCACAAGGUCACAACAAUUGAUGUAACAAAUAUAAUCAAUGGACCAGGCACCUGCACCAUGAUUCUUUGGAAUACUAAAAUUCGUCUCUUUAUGUCUGUACUUCUCAUAAUGAAAAAUGUCACGUUUUUAUGAAAGAAAUAAUGGAAUCAAAUAAUAAAUAAAACAAGCAUAUGCUGGAA
rnacentral:lncRNA from 1 species